UACGUAGGGUCCGAGCGUUGUCCGGAAUUAUUGGGCGUAAAGGGCUCGUAGGCGGUUCGUCACGUCGGGAGUGAAAACUCGGAGCUUAACUCCGAGCCUGCUUCCGAUACGGGCAGACUAGAGGUAGGCAGGGGAGAGCGGAACUCCUGGUGUAGCGGUGGAAUGCGCAGAUAUCAGGAAGAACACCGGUGGCGAAGGCGGCAUCCUGGACCGACACUGACGCUGAGGAGCGAAAGCCAGGGGAGCAAACGGG
rnacentral:rRNA from 1 species